AACAUCGCGCACCUGCGGGAACCUGCGGAAGUAUCAUUACAGAGUUGCAAAACUCCCUAAACCAUUGUGAACGUUACCUAAACCGUUGCUUCGGCGGGCGGCCCGGGUCCUUCCCGGCGCCCCUCGGCCCUCGCGGGCGCCCGCCGGAGGUAAACCAAACUAUUGCAUUGUAUGGCCUCUCUGAGUCUUCUGUACUGAAUAAGUCAAAACUUUCAACAACGGAUCUCAGAUCGGAAGAGC
rnacentral:misc_RNA from 1 species